GGGGCUAUAGCUCAGCUGGAAGAGUACUUGCAUGGCAUGCAAGAGGUCAGCGGUUCGAUCCCGCUUAGCUCCA
rnacentral:tRNA from 1 species